rnacentral:rRNA from 1 species
GACGAACGCUGGCGGCGUGCCUAAUACAUGCAAGUAGAACGCUGAAGGAGGAGCUUGCUUCUCUGGAUGAGUUGCGAACGGGUGAGUAACGCGUAGGUAACCUGCCUGGUAGCGGGGGAUAACUAUUGGAAACGAUAGCUAAUACCGCAUAAUAGUAGAUGUUGCAUGACAUUUACUUAAAAGGUGCAAUUGCAUCACUACCAGAUGGACCUGCGUUGUAUUAGCUAGUGGGUGGGGUAACGGCUCACCAAGGCGACGAUACAUAGCCGACCGGAGAGGGUGGUCGGCCCCACUGGGACUGGGACACGGCCCAGCCUCCUUCGGGGGGCAGCCGUAGGGGAUCUUCGGCAAUGGGCGGAAGUCUGACCGGGCCACGCCGCGUGGGUGGAGAAGGUUUUCGGGUCGGAAAGCUCUGUUGUUAGGGAAGAACGAGUGUGGGAGUGGAAAGUUCACACUGUGACGGUAUCUUACCAGAAAGGGACGGCUAACUACGUG